rnacentral:lncRNA from 1 species
UUUUGUGUGUGUGUGUGUGUGUGUGUGUGUGUAUGUAUGUAUUGUUCCCUCUUAAAGCCUUUCCUGAUAAGAGUAGGAUUUCAGAACUACCAACUCCCUCCCCCAUCCAAUUCCCUUUGUGUUGAUUCUUAAUCUUGUAUCACAUUCAAAUAGUAGUUAUUUUUAUUUUUUCCCACAGUUCUGCUUUUUAGAAUUAACAUACUCAACUCUACCCUAAUCUUUCCUUUGGACUACUCGAUUACUUACACAUGUGGUUUACAUUUCCACGUAUAAAACAUUUUGCCUUGAGUCUUGACAUUAGUCUUUUUAAUAUAUGUUGAAUUGCUUGCCAUCUAGGGAAGUGGGGGGAAGAGGGAAAAAUUUGGAACAUGUAAAUUUGGAAUUUGAAAAUUAUAUUGAAACAUCAAUAUUUAUUGAAAAUCAAACUAAUAAAAAAAAUUAGUCUUUGAUGUUGGCUCUUAUCGAGUUCAGGUUUGAGACUAAAUCUUGUAAAUCUGACAGUUCACUGAAUAUCAGUUUUUUCCAUUCAAUAUUAUAAUUUGGCUGGAUAUAUUUUCUACUACAACCCUCAUUCUUUUGAUUGUCAAUAUAUAAUAUUCCAGGGUGUAUGGGUCUUUAUUGUAGCCAGGGCUAAAUUCUGUGCAAUUCUAAUUGUAGCUCCAACAUACUUGAAUUGUUGCUGUUGAUGAAGAUUUUCUCUUUGAUCUGGAGGUUUUGAAAUUUAGUAGUCUUGUUCCUUUUUUCCUUUGAGGUGGCAAUUGGUGGAUUUUUUUUCUAUUUUUAUUUUUCCCUCCUGUUUUAUCAGUUCAGGACAAUUUUCUUUAAUUUUUUCUUGUAUUAUUUCGUUUCAGUUUCUUUUUUUGGCCAUAGCUUUCAGGUAAACUAAUUCUUUACUAAAUGAGACUGAAUAUUUCUUCAGUGAUAAUUAUCAACAAUUUAUUUCUUUCUCCAAUGAAAAUGCCAGUAUCCUCUGACUUUAUGUAUCAUGGACUAGGAGUUUUGUUCAUUUCUAAACUGGUCUGUUGUGUAUGUGUAUAACAAGUUCUGUUGAAUUUCUAUGACUUUUUCAAAAUGUUUUUCUUUAAAAGUUUUUUGUUGUAUGACCAUUAAUAUAAUCAAGCAUCUUAACUAUAUCUUUUUAAAUAGUUCUACCAAGAGAACAUUGCACACAAUGGCAACAAGAUUAUGUGAUGGAUCAACUGUAGUUUUGGUUUUUUUAAACAAAGAGGUGAUUCAAAAUAAUUCCAAUAGACUUGUGAUGUAAAGAUCCAUUAGCAUUCAGGGAAAGAACUAGGGAGAUUGAAUGUGGAUGAAAGCAUAGUAAUUUACUUUUUUUAUUGCUGCUUUCCCCCGCCCCCUCCCUUUUUCAUGUUUUGCACAACAUGACAAACAUGGAAAUAUUUAGUAUUGUAUGUGUUUAAUUUAUAUUGGAUUGCUUGCUGUCCAGAGAAGAGGAGGGGGGAAAGGAGAAAAAUUGGGAACACAAAAGUUUUACACAGAUGAAUGUUGAAAAUUAUCUCUGCUGGUAUUUGGGGAAAAAAAAACCAAAACUCUUAUAUAAGUCCAAAAAAGAAAAAAAAUGGUUCUAAUAGGAAAAAAAAAAAUUUCCCAAGAUUAAGAUAAAGAUGACAUUUGGUUAAAAAAGGUUUUUUUUUUUUUUUUAAUAUUUAAAUCUAUUUUUUAUUGUGUAAAUUGACUUGCCAUUCACUUACAGUUAUUAAUGUUCAGAUUAACCAGUUGGACACACAAGUUUCUGGUAAACUAUCAUCAAUUUGAAUUGAAAAAAGGAAAAAUUGGUUUCUCAUAAUCUUACUUCCAAUUAAUCCCAAAAUUUUAGCUAAUUGCAAGUUGCUUUAAUAGAUGCUUGACUGGUCACAGUUAAGUUUUUGUUUUACAACAUGGAACAAACAGGAAUCCCUUAUACAAUCUUCAUUAUGAUACUGUAACGUUUAAUAGUUUAAUUUUCUUCCCUUUUCUGAAUGUCAUUACCAUUCACUUCAAAAAAAUGCUGCUGAACGAUAGCAUCUCUUUAAAGUAAAGUUCAGUACUGUAUUUUUGUUCAAGUACAUAAUAAUUCUACUAGAUUGCAAAUUCUUUAGGAUUAGAUCUGGUCUUACAUUCAUUUACAUUUUCCAAUGUACCUAGCAUGGAUGAUAGAAUGCUUAGUAAAUUGUUAAUGAACAAG